rnacentral:rRNA from 1 species
GGAAUAUUGGUCAAUGGGCGGGAGCCUGAACCAGCCAAGUCGCGUGAGGGAAGACGGUCCUACGGAUUGUAAACCUCUUUUGCCGGGGAGCAACGGGGUCCUUGCGAGGUCCCAAUGAGAGUACCUGUAGAAUAAGCUCCGGCUAACUACGUGCCAGCAGCCGCGGUAAUACGUAGGGAGCAAGCGUUAUCCGGAUUUAUUGGGUGUAAAGGGUGCGUAGACGGGUAUAUAAGUUAGUUGUGAAAUCCCUCGGCUCAACUGAGGGACUGCAACUAAAACUGUAAAUCUUGAGUGCGGGAGAGGAAAGUGGAAUUCCUAGUGUAGCGGUGAAAUGCGUAGAUAUUAGGAGGAACACCAGUGGCGAAGGCGACUUUCUGGACCGUAACUGACGUUGAGGCACGAAAGUGUGGGGAGCAAACAG